GCAGCUGUAAUUACUUAAUGUGUUAAUUAACAUCUGACCGAGGAGCAGAGUGAACCGGUGUCCACGCGGACUUUCCCCCUCCACCUUCAACCGACUUACACGAUUCACAUAUCAACAUGACGCCCCCCAAGCAGAAUGUUUGCUGCCCGCUCUGUCAUUCUGAAUUUACCUACAUAAGCAAACACCUAAGGUAUAGUCACGGCAUUAAAAAUUCAGAAGAGCGGAAGAUAUUGAUCAGGUUCAGUAACGGGAGAAUCAAUAUCAGAAAAAUGCCCUGUCCAGUGGAUGGCUGCCGUUAUGCUAGCACAAGGCUGGACAUGCAUAUUGACCAAGCUCACCCGGAGAUGGAGGGCGAGAGGAAGGCCCAGGUGAUUAAUGGUUUGAAGUACCAGGUAACGGUGAAUAUGCUGGGAGCUCUGAGCGCCACAAACCCAAGCCUUUCGAUGGUCUCACGUUUACACAUGGACCCAAGAGCAAGAGAGGAAGCAGGUCAGCAUCAUCCAACAUCAGGACCCCUUGAUGAUGAUACAUCCUGCACCUCGUGCAAAGAGCUUGAGGCAAAGAACCUUCAGCUUACAUCAGACUUAGGGCAACUAAGGAAGAAAUUGCUUUACCAGCACAGAUGGGCAAAAAGGGCAAAAAAGGCAAUCAAACGACUGGAGGAGGACCUCCAAAAGGGAUCCACAUGCCCGGUUCCUGGUGUGGACGUGGAUGCCCUGGUGGGGUCUGCAUCUACCUCUCCUGAUGAAGAACCACAGCACAUCACCAGACCUAAAUCAAAGCAGGAAAGCCGGAACAUCCAAUGUUUGGUGAAGGCGUACCCCAA